rnacentral:tRNA from 1 species
UGGAUCACCUCCUAACAGGGAGACAACAAAAUGUAAAUAUUAAUUUUGUCACCUUAGGUCGAUCGGUAUCUCAGAUUCUUAUUAUUUAAGAAUUUCAGCUUCUAAGUUUUUUCUAGGUCACACCCAUCACUUUUUCCUGGGCCAUUAGCUCAGGUGGUUAGAGCGCACCCCUGAUAAGGGUGAGGUCCCUGGUUCAAGUCCAGGAUGGCCCAUAUCUCUAUGUUGGGGGUAUAGCUCAGUUGGUAGAGCGCCUGCUUUGCAAGCAGGAUGUCAGCGGUUCGAGUCCGCUUACCUCCACUGAAUACCACCUCUUACAUAUAGUCGAAGUGGGAAAUUGUUUUGAGUCGUGUCCUAAUUUGCUCCGAGCGAAUCUAGCUUCCUAUUUUAUCCAAGAAAUAAGAUGCUGGACUCAUUGAAUUUUUUUUCAUUGUUUUCAGAGAACCUUGACAACUGCAUAGAUUAUUUUUAAAGACAAUAAACAUCUUUAAUGAUGCAGAUUUAUUAUUUGUGCGAAUGCAUUAAAUAACAAUUCUAUUAAGCUGAUGCUUCAAUUAUUGAAGUUAUUGGUCAAGCUACAAAGGGCUCACGGAGGAUACCUAGGCACACAGAGGCGAGAAGG